rfam:Desulfobacteraceae bacterium 4572_89 ex4572_89_scaffold_7796, whole genome shotgun sequence.
GCGGGAGUAGCUCAGUUGGUAGAGCUUCAGCCUUCCAAGCUGAAUGUCGCGAGUUCGAGCCUCGUCUCCCGCU